rnacentral:rRNA from 1 species
UACAGAGGCCUCGAGCGUUGUUCGGAAUUACUGGGCGUAAAGGGAAUGUAGGUGGUCAUGUAAGUCAGAUGUGAAAGCCCUAGGCUUAACCUGGAAAGUGCAUUUGAUACUGCGUGGCUGGAGUGCGAGAGAGGAAAGCGGAAUUCCUGGUGUAGGAGUGAAAUCCGUAGAUAUCAGGAGGAAUACCGAUGGCGAAGGCAGCUUUCUGGCUCGUAACUGACACUGAGAUUCGAAAGCUUGGGUAGCAAACAGG